CCCUCCCCCUUGUCCCCCUCCCCUCACCCCAUGUCCGUCCGCUUCGAUCGCCCGCCGUCGCUCUGAGAACUUGAUUGAACGCUCAGCCAUGCGGAGAGACAUUUCCCCGCCGUUCAAACGAGCGAGCAGGAACAUCUCAGGACCAAAUGGAGCAGAACGUUUUAUUUUCACACCCAAAACUUUAGUCCCCGCGACGGGUCCUCAGAGCCAGGGGAGCGGGGAGGAGAGGGAGAGGGGAGGCAGGGGGGAGAGACGGUAAAUAGAGGAACAUAACAGCUCUUCAGAGCCUCGGGGGCCGUUCCACGGGAGAGACUUUAAUGUAGGACGCAUCAGUGCCAUAUUCUGAAACAUUUAUAUCAGGCGUCGCCUUGAAAUUGAACGUUGCACUUUCGGCUCGCCGCAAACCUUUCUUCGGAGCAAUUCAGUGUUUUCUUGAAGAAAUUACCUGUUAUGUUUUGUUUUGCUCAGCGGAUAAUCCGACAACCCGGUGAUAUUUUGCUUUGGGUUUCUAUAUUCCGUAUGGAGAUGUAUUCGGGGCUCACGAGGUGAAAUAGGUAUUUUGUUGUUUUUUUACCCAGAAGACAUCUCAUCUCGUUAAGACGCGUUUCCAACAGAUUGUCGAGCGCUUUUGAGGCAAACUUUCAAAACUUGUUUCCCUCGACCCCUUUUCUAAUCCCGGGCAUACAAACACCUUGAUGGAGACCGCGGCCAACGCAACAACAUACUUAUCGUCAGCGGACGGGUGGCUGUGCAUCACACGCAACGACCCGAGACGCCAUCAAAACGCCGAUCUUCUGGAGAGGCCCUCCUCCCAUCCCUCCUCCAAACCCCUCUCCAGUCACAGCCCUCCAUGUCCAGUUGUCCCCCGACGGCAGUCCUGCCCUUCAGGACUGACCCUGACCCCCCCCCCGGCCCCCCAGGUAAUGGCCGGCGUUCACAUCAGCGUAGCGUCCAGGGACCACGAUUCGCCUGACCCCCCCCCUCACCUCCGGUUGUCGUGGCCGCACCAAAGGGACGGAGAAAACCCCCAAAGUGACAAAGAACGGAAUAGCCGGCGACCUCGUCCUUGAAUAGAUAGCAGUCAAAGAAAGCGACUCUCUGGGUAAAUGGAACACGGCCGUCAGAGAAUAGCGUCUCCUGCCAAACCCCGCCAUCAUCAUCAUCAUCAUCAUCACCGUCCUCCUCAUCAUCAUCAUCAUCAUCAUUGUGCUCUUGUGUGUCUUAUUCUCCGAGUUAUAUUUUUGAUUGAUUUUCUGUUCUUUUGUGUCUUUUGUCAAGCAGGAUGUGGCUUCAGAGAGUUGCGAUAAAAACAUGGAGUGUUUCAUCAGAAAAUACAAUCAAUCAGCCCUCACAUCCAAACCCUUUUCCACGGCGCAGGCUGGAUAUCAAUGGAAGACCGUCACGGAACAACUGCCAGGCCUGUGAGGCUUUGGCAUUCUCCUCGGUCUACAGUAUGUUACCGUGAAUACCGCGCUUGUGUUUACCGCGUUGUGUAACGCUAACGCGGCAAUGCGUUCCCCGUCUGGGACUUGGAGAGAGACAGACGCUUAAGGCAAAGACUUUCGAUUUAAUUACUGGCACAGCGCAGCCUCCUUGGUGGCUACAUCUGGUCUCUGUCUCGUGUUCAGAGUCGCAUGUUGUUUUAAUCGUUUCCCGGGCUCCAUCGCUUGAUUGCUGCUCGCUGAUCAUCUCACGAUUUUUCUUCUCGGAACGCCGUCGUCAUCCAUUUCAGAAACGACAAAGCACUUCAGGGCUGUCACUCGCUGUACGGAAACAUAUUUAUUUUUCCACAAAUCAACCAGUUCGCAGAGUGAGAGUAUGUGGCCAAGGGCCGAGGAAUGUAGGCUACAGACGAGGGAGGAGGGAGUGAAUGAUUUGAGUGACUUUGUACAACCUCUGUACGUUAAUCCACAACAGUUUCCCCCUCGUUUUAUUUAUUCAUUCUUGGGUCAAUGGGCGGUCUGGACAUUAGGGGGCUCCUAAAAAAUGAACUGCAGAGCUCUGGCAGAGUCUAGCUAGCUAGCUGCCAACUUUUUUUUCUGAUCAUUUUCUUUUUUCCUGCAAAAACCGGCAGUUUCACAUUACCGUCUCACAUCACGUGCUUUACGUUUUAGCAUCAGUUUAAUUCAAUACCAUUGUAUGCUUCUAAUGUUCACAUAUCUCAAAUCAUACAUCCUGCAUAGUAUAAUUUAGGACAUUGGAUAAAGGUCUGUCCGUCACAACAAACACGUGAUCGAAAAGGAAAAGGUUGAAUAUCAUUUGUUUGUGAGCGGUAAAACGAUCAACGCUCGAUCAAGCUAUCCACGCGCGCUGAACUUUCCGUCAGCUGCCGUUUGUUGGUUCAUCAUUGUUUCAUUUAUUUUUAUAGCAGUGGAAAUGUAUUCACAGGAUUCCCGGUCUGUGCUUGAGUUGUGCCUUUAUUUUUUACCAAUCAACAUUUACUCAGUUCCUGCUCGCCGGCACCACUUGUAAUUAGCUUGUAAUUACAAAUUAAGAGCGCAACACACACCACCAACCGACCCCCUUCCCCUCACACUGGACAAACCUUCCGGUUCCAUCCAGUUCUGUCGACGUGCAGUCGCUGUCGGUUUGGACUCUUAUCGCUAAGACAAGGAUGCAUGAACACUUCCUGUUUCUAGAAUUAUUUAUCAGUGAUUGGCUGUGCGAUGUAACCAAUCAGCAGGACUCUUUUGAUUUGCUGCCUUCAAGCCCCGCCUCCUACCUUGUAAUUACCAGAAGACUUUUAUAGAGCUCACAAAUGACAUAGAGAGAUGCCAAUUUUGUAAGAAUGAUUUAUAUAAAUAAAAGAAUAAAACUCUUAUUUGAUGAUAUUUUCCAUGCCUCUGUUUGUCUUCUUGUGCAGGCUAUUCCCUGGCUGAAAUGAUAUUAUGUGAGAUAUAUUACGUUUUGCAAAAUUCACGGUUUGCUUCAUAUCACCGUUUUGGGGUCACGGUUUUCGGUUCGGUACAGUACAUUUUUAGGGCAAGCAGAGAAUGACACUAGUGCCAAAGAAUGUAUGUGUAUAUGUAUACAGAGCUGGCAACUCUCAUGCAUUUAGCCUACUCCUCACCUAAAU
ensembl:lncRNA